GAACGCUGGCGGCGUGCUUAACACAUGCAAGUCGAACGGAAAGGCCCUGCUUUUGUGGGGUGCUCGAGUGGCGAACGGGUGAGUAACACGUGAGUAACCUGCCCUUGACUUUGGGAUAACUUCAGGAAACUGGGGCUAAUACCGGAUAGGAGCUCCUGCUGCAUGGUGGGGGUUGGAAAGUUUCGGCGGUUGGGGAUGGACUCGCGGCUUAUCAGCUUGUUGGUGGGGUAGUGGCUUACCAAGGCUUUGACGGGUAGCCGGCCUGAGAGGGUGACCGGCCACAUUGGGACUGGGAUACGGCCCAGACUCCUACGGGAGGCAGCAGUGGGGAAUAUUGCACAAUGGGCGGAAGCCUGAUGCAGCAACGCCGCGUGCGGGAUGACGGCCUUCGGGUUGUAAACCGCUUUCGCCUGUGACGAAGCGUGAGUGACGGUAAUGGGGAAAGAAGCACCGGCUACUACGUG
rnacentral:rRNA from 1 species